AAGACUAUACUUUCCUGGAUCAUUUCUAUAGGCUUUGAAGGGAGAAAUGUGCUUCAAAGUGUCUGAGCUCACGCUCCACGAUGAUGAGUUUUAGGGCUUUCUUGUGAGCAUGAAAGCAGUUGAUAACUCUGUUUUAUGCAGUGGUUGUCUGCUUUUGAUGACUGUUCUCUUCUUUUUAAGGAGAUGGAGAAGAAAGCUCUUUCAGAGUGGU